AGUGAACGCUGGCGGUAGGCCUAACACAUGCAAGUCGAACGGCAGCACCGUAAGAGCUUGCUCUUACGGGUGGCGAGUGGCGGACGGGUGAGGAAUACAUCGGAAUCUACUUUUUCGUGGGGGAUAACGUAGGGAAACUUACGCUAAUACCGCAUACGACCUACGGGUGAAAGCAGGGGAUCUUCGGACCUUGCGCGAUUGAAUGAGCCGAUGUCGGAUUAGCUAGUUGGCGGGGUAAAGGCCCACCAAGGCGACGAUCCGUAGCUGGUCUGAGAGGAUGAUCAGCCACACUGGAACUGAGACACGGUCCAGACUCCUACGGGAGGCAGCAGUGGGGAAUAUUGGACAAUGGGCGCAAGCCUGAUCCAGCCAUACCGCGUGAGUGAAGAAGGCCUUCGGGUUGUAAAGCCCUUUUGUUGGGAAAGAAAAGCAGCAGGUUAAUACCCCGCUGUUCUGACGGUACCCAAAGAAUAAGCACCGGCUAACUUCGUG
rnacentral:rRNA from 1 species